rnacentral:rRNA from 1 species
UACGGAAUGUGCAAACGUUAUUCGGAAUCACUGGGCUUAAAGAGUCCGUAGGCGGCAUGUUAGGUGAGGUGUGAAAUCCCCCGGUUCAACCGAGGAAUUGCGCUUCAAACCGGCGUGCUUGAGGAAGAUAGAGGUGGGCGGAACUGAUGGUGGAGCGGUGAAAUGUGUUGAUAUCGGAAGGAACGCCGGUGGCGAAAGCGACACACUGGAUCUUGUCUGACGCUGAGGCACGAAAGCCAGGGGAGCGAACGGG